GAUGAACGCUGGCGGCGUGCCUAAUACAUGCAAGUCGAGCGAACGGACGAGAAGCUUGCUUCUCUGAUGUUAGCGGCGGACGGGUGAGUAACACGUGGAUAACCUACCUAUAAGACUGGGAUAACUUCGGGAAACCGGAGCUAAUACCGGAUAAUAUUUUGAACCGCAUGGUUCAAAAGUGAAAGGCGGUCUUGCUGUCACUUAUAGAUGGAUCCGCGCUGCAUUAGCUAGUUGGUAAGGUAACGGCUUACCAAGGCAACGAUGCAUAGCCGACCUGAGAGGGUGAUCGGCCACACUGGAACUGAGACACGGUCCAGACUCCUACGGGAGGCAGCAGUAGGGAAUCUUCCGCAAUGGGCGAAAGCCUGACGGAGCAACGCCGCGUGAGUGAUGAAGGUCUUCGGAUCGUAAAACUCUGUUAUUAGGGAAGAACAUAUGUGUAAGUAACUGUGCGCAUCUUGACGGUACCUAAUCAGAAAGCCACGGCUAACUACGUG
rnacentral:rRNA from 1 species